AGCGUAUUACUGGAAGAAGGCGUCGAGGAAAGAGGAGAUAAAGGUGAAGAUGAUGGUGGGAGAAAACGGUAAAUUGAAUGAGAUUGUGGUUCAAGGAGAUGAUGUACAGGUUGAAGAAAUGAGGAAGGACCUUCAGUUUAGUGAGAAAGGCAUGGUUUAUGUUAAAGGUCUCUUUGAGAGAUCAUGAACACAGACACUCAAAUCCCAUUUUUGCAUUUCUUAUUUUUGGGAGAGAAUUGUUGAUAUAACUGUUCAAAUAUGAGUUUAAAUGACCAUUUGACUCAUUUUCAUAGUCCAUACUUCAUACUAAACUAAUUGGAUUUAUAUCAGAAAUCUAUAUUAUUGUGUCAUCAGAAUGGAUUGUUGUUAGUUCAAUUGCUAGAGCAAUUUUAUUGUCUUUUUCUUUCUUUUUUGCCUGUAGGUUAAACUCCUAAAUUAUCUAGUAGAAUCAUUGAAAAUUACACAUUUAAGUUUUAUUUGAAAAUGUCUACUUUUCAAAAGAGAGUUCAGUUACAUGAUAUACACCUCGUUUAGAAAAAAAAGUCCACGGAUUUACAGAUUUAAAAUUUUUUAGUCAUAAAAAUCUAGAGUCUCCAAGUAUUUCAAAUCUAUGUACCUAAAACUAGUGUUCUAAAAACUGGUUUAAGCAGUGUUUGUGCAUCCAAUACUAAUCAACAAUCCUCUAUAAAGUGUCUAUUUCCGGUUAUUGAAUUUUUAAACAUUGCCUAAAACCUUUUACUUGUUAUGAAAGACAGCUAAGAAAGCCACCAGCCAGCCGAAAACGUUGAAAAAUAUAAAAGAUGUGGGGUCCGCUGCACUAUUUGCACAGUAAAUUCUACUUCUAUAUAAACGAUCGAUUCGAUCGUUUAUAAAUUAUCAUUCACUCUUCUCUUCUCUCUCUAAUACACUCCUUCUAUCAGUGUUAUAAAUUCUACGGGUAUAAAUUUUGCCCUUAUUUAAAUUUCCACGAUACAAUAAAAUUCCAGUUCCUUUUAUAACACGUUAUCAGCACGAUCACUCUGCGAUUCGGUAAAAUUUAUUUGUAUCAUUUAUACCCUGUUAUAAUGUCCAUUUUCACACCCAAAUCUUCUUCUUUUUUUUUCAUUUUCCUGGGUUUGAUUAUUGAAUCUGCCAAAAAAGAUUUGAUCUUUCUCACAUUGAAUGUUGUUGUGGGGGAAUCAACGCAGUUAUUCGCCGAUGAAGUAGAGAGUUUCUUUUCCUGAAGAUCUGUCAAGGUUUUUAAAUGAAAAAAUCAUUUAUCUCCUCCUCCCUCUUUUAAUUUCUUAUUUUAUUACUGCAUGUUUGGUUUGAUUGAUUCAAUUUUUUUACAAGUUGACACCUUUUUCAUGUAUGUAUGUAUAUCUACAAAAGCUUUGUUUGCUUUUAGUUUUGUCUUCUUCUUUCUCCUCUUCUUUAUAAUCUCAAUCGUAUCUUCUUUUCUUCGCCGACAUUCUCGUGUUUUUUUUUUUUUUUAAAUCUACAGGGCUAUCGCAUGGUUGUAGUAGUAGUAGCUUGGAGCAUCGGAGAGACCGUCUUUGUUACCAAAUGUCAGCAAUUCCUGCAGCAGCCAUUGGUGGUGCUGUUGGAGCUCUUGUCUUGAUUGCUAUUUCGUUUUUUCUCAUAUGGUUUUGCAUCUUUCGCCGCAAGAAUGCGUCAAGAACUUCUGAUGAGACAGGCUCUUCUGAUCCAUCAACUCAAGGUAUGUUUAAAUCACAACUCCCAUCACUUUCUCUCUCUCUCUAUCUGUUGACUUUUCUUGGGUUCGAAAUGAUUCUAUUGAAGGAAGAAACGUUGCGAUUGAGUUGUCAAUGAGAGAAGCUAGAAGGUUCGAAAUGGAGGAGCUUGCUCAAGCCACCAAGAGUUUCACCAACAAAAGCCUUAUCGGUAUUGGCAAGUUCGGAGAGGUUUACAAAGGUCUGCUUCAAGACGGUGUUCUUGUCGCCAUCAAGAAAAGACCCGGCUUGCCUACACAAGAGUUCGUCAACGAGGUUUCUUAUAAUAACUCUUUCAAUGUUUGGUUAGAACACAAGUGUUUUGAGAAGGCUUACAAUGUAUAUUUUUCUACAGGUUCGUUAUCUAUCGUCUAUCAAUCAUCGUAACCUUGUAACUCUUUUGGGUUAUUGCCAAGAAAGCAACACGCAGUUUCUUGUCUACGAGUAUGUUCCUAACGGAAGUGUUUCCAGUCACCUGUACGGUAACUCUCUGUCCUUGUAGAGAUAUUUGGUAACUGAAUCAGUUUUCGUAACUUGUGUUUAGUAGACAAUGUAGUCCUCAUUUUGGAAUCUUGUCUUUUGAUUAGGUGCUGGUGGUAAAGUACCUGGAAACAGGCUAGAGUUCAGAAACAGGCUUGCCAUAUCUAUAGGAGCAGCUAAAGGUUAAAAAAACUCAUGCUUCUUGAAUCAUAUGCCUUCUUGUGUACUGAUCUUGCUUGUGUUUAUAUCUCUAGGCUUGGCACAUCUCCACUCGCUGAGUCCUAGACUGAUACACAAGGACUUCAAAACUGCUAAUGUUCUUGUGGACGAGAACUUCAUUGCUAAAGUUGCGGAUGCAGGAGUCCGUAAUUUCUUGGGAAGAGAGGAUGUUGGUACAUCUUCUCACGUUGUUGCAGACCAGAUCUUCCUCUCCCCUGAGUAAAUCUAGCUUCUCACCUCUGAGGCUUCACAUUUUUUUUGUUUACUGUUUGCAUCCAAGUUUCUCAUAUGUUUCUAUUUUUGACAGGGUUCAAGAGUUCAGAAGAUUUUCAGAGAAAAGUGAUGUAUAUGCUUUUGGGGUGUUCCUCUUGGAGUUAGUAAGUGGAAGAGAAGCAUCAGAACCAUCCCCUUCAAGCUCAACACAAACUCUUGUCGAAUGGGUAAUGUACUAUGUAAUCACAGAGAAUGUUGAUAAUGAAGUGUAUUCUGAAUCUCACUUAUUGAUUUGCAGAUGCAAAACAUAACGGAUUACACUGAGAUACCAGGAAUGAUUGAUGAGAGACUAGGUGGUACAUACACAGCAGAAGGAGUGGAGGAGGUUAUUACACUGACAUUAACAUGUCUUGAUGUCUCAAGCGAGAAGAGACCAACAAUGAGUUAUGUUGUGACAGAGCUGGAGAGGAUAUUGGACAAAGAAGUGAGCUUGACAACAGUCAUGGGUGAAGGUACUCCUACUGUUACUCUUGGAAGUCAGCUUUUUAAAUGAUCAAAAAAUUACAUUUAUAUAUACAUAUAUAUAUUUAAGAGGAGGAUGAAGGAGAAGACUGAUCAGCUGUUUAUGUUAAGUGUAUAAAGAACAGCUGAGCUAUUAUUAUUUGUUUGUUUGUUUUUUUCCUCCUUUUUUUCUACUUCCUUUGGAGGUUAUUUUCAGCAAUUUUUUUAAAAAAUGAGUGCAGAAAAUAUAACUUUGUAAAAAACAUUAUUUAUUGAUGAUAUAAAAAGGAAGCAAUGAGUGUGGAAUGUUGUGUGAUUUCUCUCUGUUGUUGUUGUUGUGUUAGCAAAUCCAUCUGUUAGGACUAGCAGAAAAUCACUAGCUGUUACAGUAGAUAUAAUAAAGUUUGGACCAACAAAUUUACAGUGUCAGAAAAUGUAAACUCCCUGUUAGAAAGAUGAUGGUACUCCUUUGUUUCAAGAACCCUACUACUUAUUAUGUUUGGACCCAAAAAGAUUCAGAGUUACUUUUUUUUUUUUCCUAUAAAGUAGCAACUUUGGGAAAACGAUUUGACCUUAGCUUUUUCAACCCACCUAUGAUUUAUAGCCUUUAUUGCCAAAGUAGAGGACGGUCCAGCAAAACUUUGAUCAAAAAGAUUCCAAUUACAAAACUGGUUGUGAGAUGUUGUGAAGCAACUCUGUUUUAUCUUUUGUCUCUAAUAGAUUCUUCCUUUCUCAAUGCUCUGUUUUCUUGUUCUAGUAAUUAAUUAAUGUCCCUAAAAAAACCUUUGUGGGCACGCAGAACUAUAAACAGUAGUCAUUUUAAACAGAUGCGAAAAGGAAAUCAAAAUCAUGUUUGGGUCUGAUUUUGUGUCGGGGAGAAAGAUCUCAAUGAUAAAGACUCUUCUCUCUCUGUUGAUGAGUGAACUCGUUAAAUGAUGGUUGGUGGGUCUCAUUUCAUUUAUCUACCUUCCAGAUCUUUGAUGACCUCUUACAGAGAAACAGAGGUUCUGUUAUUGCAACGACGUACGUCAUAUAUUCAAAUUAAAUUAAAAUUAAAAAAAAAAAUUAGAGCCACUCGAUUUUGGAUAGACUCAUUGAAUGACACACACAUGAUUGUGUAAAAAGCCAUUAGAGACUCUCUCUCUCGACAAUGGCGACGAAGCUGUUUUCUCCGUCGCUGUCUUGUCCAUGGGUGACUUCAAGAGAUGUAGUAAUCAAAGGGCGGAGACGUGACUUUGUCACGAAACGAAACAGAGUCUCCCCUGUCACCGCCAUGGUUGUGGAGCCUCUCAGUGCUGUUUCUUCAUCGGCGGUUCAGAUUCAUCAAUGGUGGGAACAGAACCCUAGUUCGUUGCUGUUUAUGGCGGAGACUGGUGGUGGUUACUCGUUGGCUAGCUAUUAUACGUCGUUGGGUUUGUUCGUUAUUUCAGUUCCGGGUCUUUGGUCUCUCAUCAAACGCUCCGUUAAAUCAAAGGUUCGAACUUUGUGUCUCUCUUUCUCUAACUUUCACCAUCAAACGCUCGAAUCCAAUGUUUGGAGCUUUUUUUUUCAGAUAGUGAGGAAGACGUUCGUUGUUGGAGAAGGAGAAGGAGUCAAGAAGGAGCCAAAGCAAGUUGCUGGAGAGAUUCUCUCUUUCUUCACUAGGAAGAACUUUAAAAUCACUGAUCGUGGAGAAACGAUCACGUAAGCUGCUAAUUCAGAAGAAAGCUUCGAACUUUUUUAAUUUUUGUUUCAGUUACUGACAUUGUUUGUUUGUUUGAUUGUGAUAAAAGUUUUGAAGGAACAAUGGUUCCCAGUAGAGGACAAGCUGCUCUGCUCACGUUUUGUACAUGUAUAAGUUUAGCAAGUGUGGGUCUUGUCUUAACCAUUACUGUGCCUGAUUUUGGAAACAAUUGGUUCUUCAUUACCAUUCUUAGUCCACUCGCGUAAGCUUACACAAACUCUCUCUCUCUCUCUCUCUCUGGAACUGUUUGUGAAUGAUUGAUAAUGAAUGGAUGUGUUGCAGAGGAGCGUAUUACUGGAAGAAGGCGUCGAGGAAAGAGGAGAUAAAGGUGAAGAUGAUGGUGGGAGAAAACGGUAAAUUGAAUGAGAUUGUGGUUCAAGGAGAUGAUGUACAGGUUGAAGAAAUGAGGAAGGACCUUCAGUUUAGUGAGAAAGGCAUGGUUUAUGUUAAAGGUCUCUUUGAGAGAUCAUGAACACAGACACUCAAAUCCCAUUUUUGCAUUUCUUAUUUUUGGGAGAGAAUUGUUGAUAUAACUGUUC
rnacentral:lncRNA from 1 species